GAUGAUGCAUAGCCGAGUUGAGAGACUGAUCGGCCACAUUGGGACUGAGACACGGCCCAAACUCUUACGGGAGGGCAGCAGUAGGGAAUCUUCCACAAUGGACGCAAGUCUGAUGGAGCAACGCCGCGUGAGUGAAGAAGGUUUUCGGAUCGUAAAGCUCUGUUGUUGGUGAAGAAGGAUAGAGGUAGUAACUGGCCUUUAUUUGACGGUAAUCAACCAGAAAGUCACGGGCUAACUACGUGCCAGCAGCCGCGGUAAAUC
rnacentral:rRNA from 1 species